UACGAAGGGUGCUAGCGUUGUUCGGAAUCACUGGGCGUAAAGCGUGCGUAGGCUGUCUGCCAAGUCAGGGGUGAAAUCCUUGGGCUCAACCCAAGAACUGCCUUUGAAACUAGCAGACUGGAGUGUCGGAGGGGAUAGCGGAAUUCCUAAUGUAGUGGUGAAAUACGUAGAUAUUAGGAGGAACACCGGUGGCGAAGGCGGCUAUCUGGACGACAACUGACGCUGAGGCACGAAAGCGUGGGGAUCAAACAGG
rnacentral:rRNA from 1 species